rnacentral:rRNA from 1 species
UACGGAGGGUGCAAGCGUUAUCCGGAUUUACUGGGUUUAAAGGGUGCGUAGGUGGGUCUGUAAGUCAGUGGUGAAAUCUCCGGGCUUAACUCGGAACGGCCAAGUGAAACUGUCAUGCUAGAGUGCAGAAGGGGCAAUCGGAAUUCUUGGUGUAGCGGUGAAAUGCGUAGAUAUCAAGAGGAACACCUGAGGUGAAGACGGGUUGCUGGGCUGACACUGACGCUGAGGCGCGAAAGCCAGGGGAGCAAACGGG